rnacentral:rRNA from 1 species
AUGUUCCAACUCCGAGCGCGUGACCUCUCUUUCCUCGUCCACUCACCACCCUGUCUCCCCGCUCCCCGCGUCUCUCCCCUCUUCGCCCUUCGCCGCAACCUCUCCGCCACCACAUCCGCUUCACCAGGCCCUUUCGCCGCCGAGGACUACCUGGUCGCCACCUGCGGCGUUCCCCGCGCGCAAGCCGUCAAGGCAGCGAAGAAGAUAUCCCACCUGAAGUCCUCCUCGAAGCCCGACGCGGUCGUCGCCUUCCUCUCCGGCCUCGGCGUCCCCCGCUCCGACAUCGCCGCCAUCGUCGCCGUCGACCCGUGGUUCCUCUGCGCCAGCGUGGAGAGGACCCUGGCGCCCCGAGUCACCGAGCUGAGGGAGCUCGGCCUCUCGCGCUCCGAGGUCGCGCGCCUCAUCCCGCUCGCCCUGUGCUCCUUCCGCAGCAGCUCCCUCAGGGGCAACCUCGACUUCUGGCUCUCGGUCUUCGGCUCCUACGAGAAGCUCCUCAAGGCCCUCAAGAUGAACUCCGGCCUCCUCGCCGCCGACCUCGAGAAGGUGGCCAAGCCGAAUCUGGCCCUCCUCCAGCAAUGCGGGCUAAGUCCCUCUGUCUUCUCGGAGCCCUUCAUUUCCCGGGUGCUCAUCAGGACCCCCAAGAAAGUCCAGGACGCUUUGGUGCACAUUGACAAGUUUGGGGUGUCGCAGAACUCGCGGAUGUUCCUCUACGCGCUUGUGGCGUUCACUGUGCAGAGUCCGGAGAAGCUCACCGACAAAAUCGGAGUCCUGGAGACGCUUGGUUGGUCGCAGGGUGAUGUGCUGCUAGCUGUGAAGACGAUGCCGGGUAUCCUGACCAUAUCCGAGGAGAGGCUGCAGAAAAAUGUGCAUUUCCUCACAAAGGUUGCUGGGCUGGAGAUAUCUUACAUUGCUCAAAGACCGGUGCUGCUCAAGUAUAGCCUUGAGCGCCGUUUGUUUCCUAGUUUCUUGGCAGGUUCGUGCAUCCUUACAAGGAGAGGCUUCCAGGCCUUGCUGAUGUUUAUGCUUCAAGCUGUGCUGGGAAACUACACAUGGAGUUGCUAUCAGAGAACACAAAACAAAACUAGAGAAUCUACCUUACCUGUCCUGGGUGAGUACCAUAGGAUGGAAAAUGUUAAGGUUUGUCAUCCCCCUUGGUCCAUUGCUCAAGUUCUGUGCAGUUUUUCUGGAAGUGAUCCUCUAUAG